rnacentral:rRNA from 1 species
CCCUUAGAUGUCCGGGGCCGCACGCGCGCUACACUGAAGGAAUCAGCGUGGCUUUCUCCCUGACCCGAAAGGGUUGGGAAACCCGUUGAAUCUCCUUCGUGAUAGGGAUUGGGGCUUGAAAUUGUUCCCCAUGAACGAGGAAUUCCCAGUAAGCGCGAGUCAUAAGCUCGCGUUGAUUACGUCCCUGCCCUUUGUACACACCGCCCGUCGCUACUACCGAUUGAACGGUUUAGUGAGGGCCUCGGAUUGGUCUCGGCCCGCUCUUUACCGGGCGGCGCCGUUGGUCGAGAAGACGCUCGAACUUGAUCGUUUAAAGGAAGUAAAAGUCGUAACA